rnacentral:rRNA from 1 species
UACGUAGGUGGCGAGCGUUGUCCGGAAUUACUGGGUGUAAAGGGUGCGUAGGCGGGCCGACAAGUUGGAUGUGAAAUCUCCGGGCUCAACCCGGAACGCGCAUUCAAAACUGUUGGUCUUGAGUGAGGUAGAGGUAGGCGGAAUUCCCGGUGUAGCGGUGAAAUGCGUAGAGAUCGGGAGGAACACCAGUGGCGAAGGCGGCCUACUGGGCCUUUACUGACGCUGAGGCACGAAAGCAUGGGUAG